GGCUGGCCGAGCUGUCCGACUGGGAGUUGCUGGCUCCUUCUCCGUCUGAACCCGACUUCACUCGCUUUUCUUUCUCUGUGCAGGGUGGAGGAGGAGGACAAAAAAAAAGAAGAGAAAAAGAGCAGUCAGUGAAAGACGAGCGAACUAUGAUUCAGGCGCUUGUAACCACAGGGAAACUCAAGGAAGCUCGAGGAGCUAUGAUGACCGUGAUAAAAACAGGAAGUGACAACCAACAGAAGAGGCUACUUGAGCAGGAGGAAGAGAAACCCGUGGGCUUCAUGACAUGUUGUUUAUAUAACUGGGAGGAUACGUGGCCUUUUGGCCAGAACUAAAUUAGUAAGAGGAAGGAAAAGGAGGGUGUGGCUCACUCGUUCUGCAAACCUCCAGGGAUGGAGGGAAUGCCAGAGAGAGGGACGACAGCCUCCCCGCCCUUCAUGUUCUCACUCCUCGUCUUUCACACGACUUAAUACUCGGGCAUUUGCAUGCAUACAAGUAAAGCUUUGACUCCUAGUAGCGGUGCAGUUGUUCUGAGGACUCUUUACAACAUCUGCAUAAAGUGCUUUACACAGGUUUGCCGGGAGCAACAGCUGAAUACCUGAAUGCAGAAUCCUGCACCUUAAAGAAUCUGUCGCCUACAUUUGUAGCUGCAGCCUGCAGCCUUAUUUCACUAUUUAUAUGUAACCAAUGGCAUUAAAGGAAAAGUUCAAGAUU